CCAAGUCAGCCUGCAGUGCUUUCUUCAAAGGCCGCUUCCUCAGGGAAGCCCUCCCUGCUGACUCCUCUCCCGGACACCUGGUAAGAAUGGGUCACACCCCUGUGUUAUGGCCCGCCUAGCUCCAGCAGCCCUUCCCUUGUAGUUCACACGUUAAGUAUCACAUUCUCGGUUGAUUUGUGUUCACACUGAUGAGCCCCGAGGGCAGCAGCCAUAUCUGUUCACCUAUGUGUUCCCAGCUCCAGCAGACGGCCUGGUACACAGCAGGUGCUUGACAGGUCCUGUGGGCGAGACGCCACUGGCCAACUCUAUUGGGGCAUGCCCAGAGAGAACAUGUACCCAGAAAGCUGUUGUCGGAUCUCUGAUAGUGAAUGAAUUUGCUACAAAAGAAAAUUAAAAGAAAAAAAGCAAAAUUAAUGACAACCCUCACCACUAAAUCAAGAGAACAGACCCAAAAUCAAGUUUGGGGCAAAAGUCUGUGUGAGUGAGGAGAUUCUGAGUCCUCUCAUUUCAAAGAUUUGUUCCAUGUGUCUCAGUAGGCCAAGUCCCCCGGGAAUUGUGACGUCAGGGAAAACAGACUGAGCCCAGGACCAAACCAACCACGUUAUUCCAACUGGUGAUCUCCAGACUCUCAUUUCUGACCACUGUGUACGAGGGUGGCACUGGGUGUGUGAGACCUCGUGCCACUCGGGUUCUCUGGGGGAGAGACAGACAUCAAAAGCCAUGGACUUUUCAAUAUCCUAAGUUUUGUGAAUAAAAUAGGAGGCAAAAGAAAAUGGCCAACACAUGUAAAGAGCUCAUUAAAAGAAGUAAGAAGAGCAUCCAGAGUCCAACAUGUGUGAACAGAGGACAUGAAGGAUUAUGGGCUGGGCAGUGAGUAUUUGCUGAAUGUUCAUCUGUGUCAGACACAGCAUUAAGAUUUUCUUUUUUUGGUACCGGGGAUUGAACUCAGGGGUACUCAACCACUGAGCCAUAUUCCCAGCCCUGUUUUGAAUUUUAUUUAGAGACAGGAUCUCACUGAGUUGCUUAGGGCCUCGCUAAGUUACUGAGGCUGGCUUUGAACUUGCAAUCCUCCUGCCUCAGCCUCCAUAGCCCUGGGAUUACAGGCAUG
rnacentral:lncRNA from 1 species